rfam:Hepatitis C virus subtype 6e N12-2804-Cam gene for polyprotein, complete cds
AACCGCCGCCCACAGGACGUUAAGUUCCCGGGUGGCGGUCAGAUCGUCGGUGGAGUUUACCUGUUGCCGCGCAGGGGCCCUCGUUUGGGUGUGCGCGCGACUAGGAAGACUUCUGAACGGUCCCAGCCCAGGGGUA